rnacentral:lncRNA from 1 species
UUGGGCGUAAGUGCUUUAUUUGGAAGUAGUGCAAUGCCUCAUUUGAACCUAUAUACAAAGGGUUUGACUUGUAUAAAAAUCCAAUUUUAAUUAAAAUAUAUAGAAAUGACAUUUUGAAAAUAGGUUUUCAAACCCUUAUGUUCACAUAGUAAUUGAGGCCAUUGAUACUUCAAUUUUAUUCCAUAUUCGGUUUGUUUUGAUUUUAUUCUCGAGAUGUGAAGCAUCUAUAACAAAAUAAUAUACAUAUAAGGGUUGAGCUCCUUCAGGGCAUGAAAACCAUCAAAGGAUGUUCGAGCACCAUACAUAUGAUUUACAAGCUAACUAUACAACUGAAAAGGGUCCAUCAUGGGAACCAGAUCUAGAUUCGACAGCUGGAUCUUAGAUUAUGUGGCUCCUAGGCUCACAUAAUAUCAUAUGAAUAGCCUACAUAACGAGGAUACUAAAAUAAAAUAGAUAUUUAAUCCAAACGAUGUAAAACAAAGGAUUCAUCAGUUAAAUCCCUGUAUGCGCAUAGCCAAGCUUCCUGUUCCCUCUAGAUACAGAUCUAGGGUCACGUGGUUACGUAAUAUUUACAAAAAAACUAGAAAGAAAACUAGAUUUAAAUAAAUGCUAGGCAUUCUAGCUCUAUGAUUCCAGUUUUACAACUUUUGAACAGAUUAAAAGUCAGAUAUGGCUAGAUUUAGAUAAAUAUAGUUC